rnacentral:rRNA from 1 species
GACGAACGCUGGCGGCGUGCCUAAUACAUGCAAGUCGAGCGCAGGAAACUGACGGAACUCUUCGGAGGGAAGGCAGUGGAAUGAGCGGCGGACGGGUGAGUAACACGUAAGGAACCUGCCUCAAGGAUUGGGAUAACUCCGAGAAAUCGGAGCUAAUACCGGAUAGUUCAUCGGACCGCAUGGUCCGUUGAUGAAAGGCGCUCCGGCGUCACCUUGAGAUGGCCUUGCGGUGCAUUAGCUAGUUGGGGGGGUAACGGCCCACCAAGGCGACGAUGCAUGGCCGACCUGAGAGGGGGAUCGGCCACACUGGGACUGAGACACGGCCCAGACUCCUACGGGAGGCAGCAGUAGGGAAUCUUCCACAAUGGACGAAAGUCUGAUGGAGCAACGCCGCGUGAGUGAUGAAGGUUUUCGGAUCGUAAAACUCUGUUGUAAGGGAAGAACACGUACGAGAGGAAAUGCUCGUACCUUGACGGUACCUUACGAGAAAGCCACGGCUAACUACGUGCCAGCCGCCGCCGUAA